rnacentral:rRNA from 1 species
GUGAGGAAUAUUGGUCAAUGGGCGGGAGCCUGAACCAGCCAAGUCGCGUGAAGGAAGAAGGAUCUAUGGUUCGUAAACUUCUUUUGCAGGGGAAUAAAGUGCAGGACGUGUCCUGUUUUGUAUGUACCCUGAGAAUAAGGAUCGGCUAACUCCGUGCCAGCAGCCGCGGUAAUACGGAGGAUCCGAGCGUUAUCCGGAUUUAUUGGGUUUAAAGGGUGCGUAGGUGGUUUGAUAAGUCAGCGGUGAAAGUUUGCAGCUUAACUGUAAAAAUGCCGUUGAAACUGUCGGACUUGAGUGUAAAUGAGGUAGGCGGAAUGCGUGGUGUAGCGGUGAAAUGCAUAGAUAUCACGCAGAACUCCGAUUGCGAAGGCAGCUUACUAAGCUACAACUGACACUGAAGCACGAAAGCGUGGGGAUCAAACAGGAUUAGAAACCCGAGCAGUCC